rnacentral:rRNA from 1 species
GACGAACGCUGGCGGCGUGCCUAAUACAUGCAAGUAGAACGCACAGUUUAUACCGUAGCUUGCUACACCAUAGACUGUGAGUUGCGAACGGGUGAGUAACGCGUAGGUAACCUGCCUGGUAGCGGGGGAUAACUAUUGGAAACGAUAGCUAAUACCGCAUAAUAUUAAUUAUUGCAUGAUAAUUAAUUGAAAGGUGCAAUUGCACCACUACCAGAUGGACCUGCGUUGUAUUAGCUAGUAGGUGAGGUAACGGCUCACCUAGGCGACGAUACAUAGCCGACCUGAGAGGGUGAUCGGCCACACUGGGACUGAGACACGGCCCAGACUCCUACGGGAGGCAGCAGUAGGGAAUCUUCGGCAAUGGACGAAAGUCUGACCGAGCAACGCCGCGUGAGUGAAGAAGGUUUUCGGAUCGUAAAGCUCUGUUGUAAGGGAAGAACGGGUGUGAGAGUGGAAAGUUCACACUGUGACGGUAUCUUACCAGAAAGGGACGGCUAACUACGUG